CUAACACUACAGGGAGAUAACUCUGUAAAGUCAGCUAAACGUUUUCAUUACGUUGUGUUGUAAAAGGAAUAUUAAGCUUUUCAAUGAUCAAAAUUGAUUUUUGUCAAACUGCUAUAUAACCAGUGUAAUUUUUCUGACAAAACGGUUGGUUCAAAAUUUUCAAAAUUUUUAUAUUUUUGUUAAAGGGUCAAAGUAAAUAUUUUGACAAAAUUUUAUGAAAAUUAAACGAGCCAAAUUAAUUUUAGUGAAAGUGUUGGAUACCACCUUAAU
rnacentral:lncRNA from 1 species